rnacentral:miRNA from 1 species
GGUUCUGGUCCUGGUCCUGGUCCUGGUCCUGGUUCUGGUCCUGGUCCUGGUCCUGGUCCUGGUCUUGGUUCUGGAC